rnacentral:rRNA from 1 species
UGGGGAAUAUUGGACAAUGGGGGCAACCCUGAUCCAGCAAUGCCGCGUGUGUGAAGAAGGUCUUCGGAUUGUAAAGCACUUUCGACGGGGACGAUGAUGACGGUACCCGUAGAAGAAGCCCCGGCUAACUUCGUGCCAGCAGCCGCGGUAAUACGAAGGGGGCUAGCGUUGCUCGGAAUGACUGGGCGUAAAGGGCGUGUAGGCGGUUUACACAGUCAGAUGUGAAAUCCCCGGGCUUAACCUGGGAGCUGCAUUUGAUACGUGUAGACUAGAGUGUGAGAGAGGGUUUGUGGAAUUCCCAGUGUAGAGGUGAAAUUCGUAGAUAUUGGGAAGAACACCGGUGGCGAAGGCGGCAACCUGGCUCAUGACUGACGCUGAGGCGCGAAAGCGUGGGGAGCAAACAGGAUUAGAUACCCUGGUAGUCCACGCUGUAAACGAUGUGUGCUAGAUGUUGGGUAACUUUGUUAUUCAGUGUCGCAGUUAACGCGUUAAGCACACCGCCUGGGGAGUACGGCCGCAAGGUUG